rnacentral:tRNA from 1 species
CCUGGUGGCUCAGAUGGUAAAGAAUUUGCCUGCAAUGCAGGAGACCCAGGUUCAAUUCCUGGGUCAGGA